GACGAACGCUGGCGGCGUGCUUAACACAUGCAAGUCGAACGGAAAGGCCCUGCUUUUGUGGGGUGCUCGAGUGGCGAACGGGUGAGUAACACGUGAGUAACCUGCCCUUGACUUUGGGAUAACUUCAGGAAACUGGGGCUAAUACCGGAUAGGAGCUCCUGCUGCAUGGUGGGGGUUGGAAAGUUUCGGCGGUUGGGGAUGGACUCGCGGCUUAUCAGCUUGUUGGUGGGGUAGUGGCUUACCAAGGCUUUGACGGGUAGCCGGCCUGAGAGGGUGACCGGCCACAUUGGGACUGAGAGACGGCCCAGACUCCUACGGGAGGCAGCAGUGGGGAAUAUGGCACAGUGGGCGGAAGCCUGAUGCAGCAGCGCCGCGUGCGGGAUGACGGCCUUCGGGUUGUAAACCGCUGUCGCCUGUGACGAAGCGUGAGUGACGGUAAUGGGUAAAGAAGCACCGGCUAACUACGUG
rnacentral:rRNA from 1 species